UGCGGGGCCGCCGCCGCCCGCAGGAGCCGCCGCCGCCUAUUGUUCAUGCGCCUCCGCAGAGCUGGGAGGACCCCCCCCCAACGACGGCGGCCGCAGAUCCCUUUUACAGUUGGAUUCUCCCUCUUGGAUCUGGCUCUGCCUUAGUCCGACCUAGAGGGAUCAGCUUCGCCCACGCCCACUCUCACCCGGAACCUUUCAUCUCUUAUUGAAGCCUUUUAGGCCCAUUGGGAUGUUCAUUAGAACUCUGAAAACUACAGUUCUCCCCUUUAUGAGGACUGCACCACAGCUCGCCCUCUCCUGGGUUCCGGUAAGAAGAGAUUCCAAUACCACUCUUUUUUCAGAAUUCAGAAAGGCAAGAGACCACCUUACUGAGCUUCAAACUGGGGCUGGGAACGCUGCCAUGAAUUGGGCUUGGUCUGUCUGAAGGGAGCCACCUUUUCGACAAUCCUUAGACUUCUUUUGCCUGUUGGAAUUACACCUUGGAUCGUGGCGAAGUCUAUAGAGGUCAGAUUAAGAAGAACCAAAGCAGAAUAAACGUAGAACCCGAUGCUGAGUUCACGAGUGAGGACGACCUCUUCCUAUAUGCUUUGCUAUACCCUGCGUUUUGAACAUUAAGGACGAGAUAGGAGGCCCAUAAUGUUUCUUCUUGCUUUAAUCCUGUCGUGGCAACGUUGACUUCCAGUAAGAAAGCCUGGUUGCAGAGUGAGCCCAUGGGACAGCCCUCUGAAAUUAUACUGCUUACAACCAUGCUGAGUCUGCAAGGACUUCGUCCAAGCCUUUCCGUCCAGGACCUCAAACAGAUCCAAUCACAAGAAGAGAGAUUUCAGGAAAGAGAAAAUUAUUCCUAUCAUCGGGGUUUUUGAAGAACAUGAAAUGACUGGGAAAAUAAUCAUGUUAAGUGGAAAAAAAAAAGAAAUCUAUCUGUUGUAAUUUUCAAAUAAUUUUUAAAUAAAUUUGAAAAAUUAAGAGAACUAUAUAUAUAAUACAUUCCUAAUCUUGUGAAAAAUAUAUAUGCAUUAAUAUUAUUGAAAGAAAUAUAUCAAAAGGUGAACAGCAAUUAUCACCAAUCUAGAUUAUGAGAUUAGGAGUGAUUUUUUUUCUUUGUCCUAUACUAUUUAAUAUUUUCUACCAUUAAAAUAUUCUGAUUUUCUAAUUAGAAUAGUACGUUAGACAAAGAAGGACAAAUAUCACAUGAACUCUCACUCUCUUAUGGAACAGAUCUUGUGGAAUCUAAAAAAGUUGAACUCAUAGAAAAAGAGGAAAAUGAUGGUUACCAGUUAGAAAAAAGGAAUAAGUUCAAGAGAUCUAUUGUACACCAUGGUCAAUAUAGUUAACAAUAUAUUUUAUACUUUAAAAUUGCUAAGGUAGUAGAUUUUAAGUGUUCUCACCACACAAAAAAAUAAGUAUGUGAAAAGCAUAUGGUAAUUAGCUUGAUUUAACCACGCCACAGUGCAUACAUAUGUCAAAACAUCAUGUUGUAUACUAUAAAUAUAUACACUUUUUGUCAAUUUUAAACAGGUUAUAAAAAAACAUGUUAUUGUUGAUAAUUAUGAAAAAUUUUAAUGAUGUGG
ensembl:lncRNA MAP3K9-DT MAP3K9 divergent transcript